GGGAGAAGUCAGCUUUCAUAUCACAAAGACACUCAAGCAGCACUGUGAAGAGGCACAGGUGGUAAAACUGAAGACCUUCACAAACAGCCAGCACUAAUUUGCCAACCAAAUGACGGUCUUUGGAAAACAGAUCCUCUGGCCUCAGGUGAAAAAUGAGAAGAUUAAAUAAGCCAUGGGAAGAUUUUUUAAAAUGACAUGAAACUCCAAGGGUAAAAAGUAGAUAGUGAGAUUGAGACUGACACCGAGCAUUGCCUGGGAAUCACAUAAGAUAAUGCAGGCUGGGAAAUCUUAGGAUGGUGAACCAUCGUGUUUCCUGAGUGUGAAUCCUGUACCUGGUUUGACUGUAGUCACCCCUUCUCCAACACUCUCCACGAUGCCGGCUGCCUCAUGGCCUAAAAUCACAGGAAGUGGGGUCACCAUGGUACCACUAACCACGUGGUCAUCUGUGCCACAGAUUCCUACAGCCACCAUCUACAGAGUGAAGAGAAGAUGUUUAUGAAAGAUUAUGAGUCUCAGGAUGUUCAACAUGAUCAAUGCCAAAAUAAAUAUCAGAAUACUUGGAAGUAAAGUACUAAUAGUAGGAGUUCCUGAUUAUCAGGUGCCUAUGAUGUGACAGGCACAUUGUGGCCUGUGCUCG